rnacentral:rRNA from 1 species
AUUGAACGCUGGCGGCAUGCCUUACACAUGCAAGUCGAACGGCAGCACGGGGCAACCUGGUGGCGAGUGGCGAACGGGUGAGUAAUGCAUCGGAACGUACCUUUCAGUGGGGGAUAACGUAGCGAAAGUUACGCUAAUACCGCAUAUUCUGUGAGCAGGAAAGCAGGGGAUCGCAAGACCUUGCGCUGAUUGAGCGGCCGAUGUCAGAUUAGCUAGUUGGUGAGGUAAAGGCUCACCAAGGCGACGAUCUGUAGCGGGUCUGAGAGGAUGAUCCGCCACACUGGAACUGCGACACGGUCCAGACUCCUACGGGAGGGAGCAGUGGGGAAUUUUGGACAAUGGGGGCAACCCUGAUCCAGCCAUGCCGCGUGAGUGAAGAAGGCCUUCGGGUUGUAAAGCUCUUUCGGCCGGGAAGAAAUCGCACGGGCUAAUACCCUGUGUGGAUGACGGUACCGGAAUAAGAAGCACCGGCUAACUACGUGCCAGCCGCCGCGGUAACAC